GGUUGUAUAGUGUAGUUGGCCUAGCACAUCGGAUUCUGAUUUGUUCAGAACAUUCCGGUAACCCCGGUUCGAAUCCGGGUACGACCU